rnacentral:ncRNA from 1 species
ACAAACAUGUUGAAGAACAGAGACGAAUUUCUACUUCUCAGAGAACUUCCGGUUGGUGUGAGGAAGCGAAGCAGUAAUUCUGAAGAUGGGUUCUGAAUGGCACUGGUGAUCUUUUAGCCAGCGACGAGUUGCGCACGUUACUGCGGCAGGGUUCAUAGCUUUUUUAUGAACCUGUUGAGGCAGUCCUUGUAAGAGCGCUGCAAAUUAAGGUGGUAACACGAUCGCAUUCGUCCUUUUU